GAUCCCUCGCGGGUGCACCGC
rnacentral:siRNA from 1 species